GAAGCUUUGUGUUUAGUUGCAGGAUGCACCUCUUAGGCAGAAUAACUGACCACAGUUGGGGUCCAAACUCUUCAGAAAGGAGUUAAUCAGAACAGUGUCUUGGAACCUUGGGAUAUUUUAGAAGAAAAAGACCAUUCAUGCAAGAAGGAGACUGGACAGGAGCUGGUUGUUGGAUGGAAAAAUCAUUAAGAGCAAAUAAUUACCCAGCAGCACCCAAUGAAGGUGGUUCCUUGCAAAGUAUUUGUAAUGUAAG